UACGAAGGGGGCAAGCGUUGUUCGGAAUUACUGGGCGUAAAGGGCGCGUAGGCGGCCGAUCAAGUCAGGCGUGAAAUUCCCGGGCUCAACCUGGGGGCUGCAUUUGAUACGUGUGGGCUUGAGUGCGGAAGAGGGUCGUGGAAUUCCCAGUGUAGAGGUGAAAUUCGUAGAUAUUGGGAAGAACACCGGUGGCGAAGGCGGCGACCUGGUCCGUGACUGACGCUGAGGCGCGAAAGCGUGGGGAGCAAACAGG
rnacentral:rRNA from 1 species